GGCUUCCGGAGCUAACGCGUUAAAUCGACCGCCUGGGGAGUACGGCCGCAAGGUUAAAACUCAAAUGAAUUGACGGGGGCCCGCACAAGCGGUGGAGCAUGUGGUUUAAUUCGAUGCAACGCGAAGAACCUUACCUGGUCUUGACAUCCACAGAACUUUCCAGAGAUGGAUUGGUGCCUUCGGGAACUGUGAGACAGGUGCUGCAUGGCUGUCGUCAGCUCGUGUUGUGAAAUGUUGGGUUAAGUCCCGCAACGAGCGCAACCCUUAUCCUUUGUUGCCAGCGGUUAGGCCGGGAACUCAAAGGAGACUGCCAGUGAUAAACUGGAGGAAGGUGGGGAUGACGUCAAGUCAUCAUGGCCCUUACGACCAGGGCUACACACGUGCUACAAUGGCGCAUACAAAGAGAAGCGACCUCGCGAGAGCAAGCGGACCUCAUAAAGUGCGUCGUAGUCCGGAUUGGAGUCUGCAACUCGACUCCAUGAAGUCGGAAUCGCUAGUAAUCGUAG
rnacentral:rRNA from 2 species